UACGUAGGGGGCGAGCGUUUGUCCGGAUUCAUUGGGCGUAAAGAGCUCGUAGGCGGCUUGGCAAGCCGGGUGUGAAACCUCCAGCUCAACCUGGAGACGCCACCCGGGACUGCUAUGGCUAGAGUCCGGUAGGGGAUCACGGAAUUCCUGGUGUAGCGGUGGAAAUGACGCAGAUAUCAGGAGGAACACCGGUGGCGAAGGCGGUGAUCUGGGCCGGCACUGACGCUGAGGAGCGAAAGCGUGGGUAGCAAACAGG
rnacentral:rRNA from 1 species